rnacentral:rRNA from 1 species
GAUGAACGCUGGCGGCGUGCUUAACACAUGCAAGUCGAACGGAAAGGCCCAAGCUUGCUUGGGUACUCGAGUGGCGAACGGGUGAGUAACACGUGGGUGAUCUGCCCUGCACCUCGGGAUAAGCCUGGGAAACUGGGUCUAAUACCGGAUAGGACGAUGGUUUGGAUGCCAUUGUGGAAAGUUUUUUCGGUGUGGGAUGAGCUCGCGGCCUAUCAGCUUGUUGGUGGGGUAAUGGCCUACCAAGGCGUCGACGGGUAGCCGGCCUGAGAGGGUGUACGGCCACAUUGGACCUUGGGUCCGGCCCAGGCUCCUGCGGGCGGCAGCAGUGGGGAAUAUUGCACAAUGGGCGCUAGCCUGAUGCAGCGACGCCGCGUGGGGGGUGACGGCCUUCGGGUUGUAAACUCCUUUCGCUAGGGACGAAGCGUUUUUGUGACGGUACCUGGAGAAGGAGCACCGGCUAACUCCGUG